CUCUCGGCAACGGAUAUCUCGGCUCUCGCAUCGAUGAAGAACGUAGCGAAAUGCGAUACUUGGUGUGAAUUGCAGAAUCCCGUGAAUCAUCGAGUCUUUGAACGCAAGUUGCGCCCGACGCCAUUCGGCCGAGGGCACGUCUGCCUGGGUGUCACGCACCGUUGCC
rnacentral:rRNA from 4 species